UACGAAGGGGGCUAGCGUUGCUCGGAAUCACUGGGCGUAAAGCGCACGUAGGCGGACUCUUAAGUCGGUGGUGAAAUCCUGGAGCUCAACUCCAGAACUGCCUUCGAUACUGAGAGUCUCGAGUCCGGGGAGAGGUGAGUGGAACUGCGAGUGUAGAGGUGAAAUUCGUAGAUAUUCGCAAGAACACCAGUGGCGAAGGCGGCUCACUGGCCCGGAACUGACGCUGAGACGCGAAAGCGUGGGGAGCAAACAGG
rnacentral:rRNA from 1 species